rnacentral:rRNA from 1 species
UGGGGGAUAUUGCACAAUGGGCGAAAGCCUGAUGCAGCGACGCCGCGUGGGGGAUGAAGGCCUUCGGGUUGUAAACUUCUUUUGCUCUGAACAAGGCAUGCUAAUGGGUGUGUUGAGUGUAGGGGUUGAUUAGCGCCGGCUAACUACGUGCCAGCAGCCGCGGUAAUACGUAGGGCGCGAGCGUUGUCCGGAAUGAUUGGGCGUAAAGGGCUUGUAGGUGGCUGGUUGCGUCUGUCGUGAAAGCUCAUGGCUUAACUGUGGGUUUGCGGUGGGUACGGGCUGGCUUGAGUGCAGUAGGGGAGGCUGGAAUUCCUGGUGUAGCGGUGGAAUGCGCAGAUAUCAGGAGAAGUACCGGUGGCGAAGACGGGUCUCUGGGCUGUUACUGACACUGAGGAGCGAAAGCAUGGGGAGCGAACAGG